rnacentral:tRNA from 1 species
GGGCAUGUGAUUUAGUGGUAUAACAUUCGCUUAGCAUGCGAAAGGUCUGGCGUUCAAUUCGCCGCUUGUCCA